rnacentral:tRNA from 1 species
GCGAUUGAUUCAGCGGCACAAAUCGCGCUUGAAAAAAUUGGCUACGAACCAAGGGGUCGGGCGUUCGAAUCGCUCCGGGCGCGCCA